GAUGCCCUAGUAACGGCGAGUGAAGCGGCAACAGCUCAAAUUUGAAAUCUGGCGCAAGCCCGAGUUGUAAUUUGUAGAGGAUGCUUCUGGGUAGCGACCGAUCUAAGUUCCUUGGAACAGGACGUCAUAGAGGGUGAGAAUCCCGUAUGUGACCGGCCCGCACCCUUUACGUAGCUCCUUCGACGAGUCGAGUUGUUUGGGAAUGCAGCUCUAAAUGGGAGGUAAAUUUCUUCUAAAGCUAAAUACCGGCCAGAGACCGAUAGCGCACAAGUAGAGUGAUCGAAAGAUGAAAAGUACUUUGGAAAGAGAGUUAAAAAGCACGUGAAAUUGUUGAAAGGGAAGCGCCUGCAACCAGACUUCGCGGCAGUGUUCCGCCGGUCUUCUGACCGGUUCAUUCUCUGUCGCGAGGCCAUCAUCGUCUGGGCCCGCCGGAUAAGACCUGAGGAAUGUGGCUCCCCCUCGGGGGAGUGUUAUAGCCUCUGGUGAUGCGGCGUGGCUCGGGCGAGGUCCGCGCUUCGGCAAGGAUGAUGGCGUAAUGGUUGUCGGCGGCCCGUCUUGAAACACGGACCAAGGAGUCUAACAUCUAUGCGAGUGUUCGGGUGUCAAACCCCUACGCGUAAUGAAAGUGAACGGAGGUGGGAACCGCAAGGUGCACCAUCGACCGAUCCUGAUGUCCUCGGAUGGAUUUGAGUAAGAGCAUAGCUGUUGGGACCCGAAAGAUGGUGAACUAUGCCUGAAUAGGGUGAAGCCAGAGGAAACUCUGGUGGAGGCUCGCAGCGGUUCUGACGUGCAAAUCGAUCGUCAAAUUUGGGUAUAGGGGCGA
rnacentral:rRNA from 1 species